rnacentral:rRNA from 1 species
UACGUAGGGUGCAAGCGUUGUCCGGAAUUAUUGGGCGUAAAGAGCUUGUAGGCGGUUUUUCGCGUCUGCUGUGAAAUUUCGGGGCUCAACCCCGAACUUGCAGUGGGUACGGGCAGGCUAGAGUGUGGUAGGGGAGACUGGAAUUCCUGGUGUAGCGGUGAAAUGCGCAGAUAUCAGGAGGAACACCAAUGGCGAAGGCAGGUCGCUGGGCCACUACUGACGCUGAGAAGCGAAAGCAUGGGGAGCGAACAGG